GAUACAUGUUGAUGGAUCAUCCAAAUGCUUAUUAAAUAAAAAGAAUCUCUGGGGACACCAGGAUGAGGGUUGUUGAGGCUGUGGGAUGUUUGACCACUCUUGUGCGAGCAGCAGAGUCUCGGGCUGCAGCAGGGGCUGAUCCAUGUGGGUGGCUCGGCGAGGCAACUUCCAGUGUUUGCCCACGCGGUGGAGGCAGCGCGGGGCGCGGUGCUGUUAAGGCUUCCUGCCUUAGCAAGAAGGCAACAUCCUAAGCACAGCAAGUCCAUUUUCUUUAGGAGAACUGAUCUUUACAUGAUCCCAAGAGCUGAACAGCCUAGUGCAGCUGAAGACCCAGCUGGGUACAAAAAGAACAAGAAGCUGUGGUUAAAAAAAAAACGAAAA